CGGCGUGCUUAACACAUGCAAGUCGAACGGAAAGGCCCUGCUUUUGUGGGGUGCUCGAGUGGCGAACGGGUGAGUAACACGUGAGUAACCUGCCCUUGACUUUGGGAUAACUUCAGGAAACUGGGGCUAAUACCGGAUAGGAGCUCCUGCUGCAUGGUGGGGGUUGGAAAGUUUCGGCGGUUGGGGAUGGACUCGCGGCUUAUCAGCUUGUUGGUGGGGUAGUGGCUUACCAAGGCUUUGACGGGUAGCCGGCCUGAGAGGGUGACCGGCCACAUUGGGACUGAGAUACGGCCCAGACUCCUACGGGAGGCAGCAGUGGGGAAUAUUGCACAAUGGGCGGAAGCCUGAUGCAGCAACGCCGCGUGCGGGAUGACGGCCUUCGGGUUGUAAACCGCUUUCGCCUGUGACGAAGCGUGAGUGACGGUAAUGGGUAAAGAAGCACCGGCUAACUACGUGCCAGCAGCCGCGGUGAUACGUAGGGUGCGAGCGUUGUCCGGAUUUAUUGGGCGUAAAGGGCUCGUAGGUGGUUGAUCGCGUCGGAAGUGUAAUCUUGGGGCUUAACCCUGAGCGUGCUUUCGAUACGGGUUGACUUGAGGAAGGUAGGGGAGAAUGGAAUUCCUGGUGGAGCGGUGGAAUGCGCAGAUAUCAGGAGGAACACCAGUGGCGAAGGCGGUUCUCUGGGCCUUUCCUGACGCUGAGGAGCGAAAGCGUGGGGAGCGAACAGGCUUAGAUACCCUGGUAGUCCACGCUGUAAACGGUGGGUACUAGGUGUGGGGUCCAUUCCACGGGUUCCGUGCCGUAGCUAACGCUUUAAGUACCCCGCCUGGGGAGUACGGCCGCAAGGCUAAAACUCAAAGGAAUUGACGGGGCCCCGCACAAGCGGCGGAGCAUGCGGAUUAAUUCGAUGCAACGCGUAGAACCUUACCUGGGUUUGACAUGGAUCGGGAGUGCUCAGAGAUGGGUGUGCCUCUUUUGGGGUCGGUUCACAGGUGGUGCAUGGCUGUCGUCAGCUCGUGUCGUGAGAUGUUGGGUUAAGUCCCGCAACGAGCGCAACCCUUGUUCACUGUUGCCAGCACGUUAUGGUGGGGACUCAGUGGAGACCGCCGGGGUCAACUCGGAGGAAGGUGGGGAUGACGUCAAGUCAUCAUGCCCCUUAUGUCCAGGGCUUCACGCAUGCUACAAUGGCUGGUACAGAGAGUGGCGAGCCUGUGAGGGUGAGCGAAUCUCGGAAAGCCGGUCUCAGUUCGGAUUGGGGUCUGCAACUCGACCUCAUGAAGUCGGAGUCGCUAGUAAUCGCAGAUCAGCAACGCUGCGGUGAAUACGUUCCCGGGGCUUGUACACACCGCCCGUCAAGUCAUGAAAGUUGGUAACACCCGAAGCCGGUGGCCUAACCGUUGUGGGGGAGCCGUCGAAGGUGGGACUGGUGAUUAGGACUAAGUCGUA
rnacentral:rRNA from 1 species